rnacentral:rRNA from 1 species
AACGAACGCUGGCGGCAUGCCUAACACAUGCAAGUCGAACGGGAUCCUGGCUUCGGUCAGGUGAGAGUGGCGGACGGGUGAGUAACGCGUGGGAACCUGCCCAGUGGUGGGGGAUAACUGCGGGAAACUGCAGCUAAUACCGCAUGAGCCCGAGAGGGGAAAGAUUUAUCGCCAUUGGAGGGGCCCGCGUUCGAUUAGGUAGUUGGUGAGGUAACGGCUCACCAAGCCGACGAUCGAUAGCUGGUCUGAGAGGAUGAUCAGCCACACUGGGACUGAGAUACGGCCCAGACUCCUACGGGAGGCAGCAGUGGGGAAUAUUGGACAAUGGGGGCAACCCUGAUCCAGCAAUGCCGCGUGAGUGAUGAAGGCCUC